AGGAGUCCAGCUGCUGGUGGUGCUGAUACUGCAGUGGUAGAAAUUGUGAGCAAGAUAAAGCCGGAAGUGACGUCUUCAAAAGAACGAGCGGAGAGAGAUAUAUCCAUGGUGGUGUCAGGCUUGACCCCUAAAGAAGUAGUGAGUGUGCCAUCUGUGUCUCUAACUGGGGCUCGACCUGGGCUUCAGAUAUUACUAUAAGCACUGGCAGUGGCUAACCUGCAGGAAUUAAGUUA
rnacentral:lncRNA from 1 species